rnacentral:lncRNA from 10 species
GUUUAUGAAAAUGGCUCUCGGUAUCAACCCAGGAUGGGGCUGGAGAUCCUCCUUCAUCCCUGCACCCUUAUAUCACAGAGCUUUUCAGCCCUUCUCUAGCAUCUUUCCUUUGUAAGAGGAGACAUGUCUAGGUAGAAUGGAUUUGUUUCCCAUUUCAGGGAACAAACAAGAGUGCCCCAAAGAAGUUCUGAGAGGACUAUUAUCAGUGAUUGCCACAUUGAUUCAUUGGAUCAUAUAACCUUAGGUAUUGGGUGAUUUCUGGGUACAACAUACUCCAGCAGAUUUCCUACCUCUGAUCUGCAAUGAUCAUCGCUUACCUUGACCCUUUAACUGUUUUCCUUCACAAACCCUUGGCAAAUAGUGACCUGGAAUGAGACCUAGGAGACUGAGACUGAAGCUCUAUGAGCUUUGUUUCUCUAUAAAGUGAGCUGGUUGGAGAGAUAAUAUUCAAAGUUUCAUCUUACGCCACAUAAUAAUACUAUGGCUGUAUACCUGCUUGAGCCAGCAAAGCUGGAGGUAUCACACAUGACAUAUCCAUGCUUCUUCCUCCUUCCCAGACAUAAAUGUGUUGAGUAUCUAAGUCUGUUCUCAUUUAAUUUUUUGAUCUAGAAACCAUUAACCUUCCUUUCAAGCUGAUCAUACCACAGCAUCCUACAUAAAAAUAUUUUAUCACCUCUCAAAUA